rnacentral:rRNA from 1 species
CACCGGCGGCCCGAGUGGUAACCGCUUUUAUUGGGUCUAAAGGGUCUGUAGCCGGCCAAGUAAGUCCCUUGGGAAAUCUGGCAGCUUAACUGUCAGGCUGCUAGGGGAUACUGCUAGGCUUGGGACCGGGAGAGGUGAGAGGUACCUUGGGGGUAGGGGUGAAAUCUUGUGAUCCUCGGGGGACCACCAGUGGCGAAGGCGUCUCACCAGAACGGGUCCGACGGUAAGGGACGAAAGCUAGGGGCACGAACCGGAUUAGAUACCCGGGUAGUCCUAGCCGUAAACGAUGCUCGCUAGGUGUCAGUCACGGUGCGACCGUGAUUGGUGCCGUAGGGAAGCCGUGAAGCGAGCCACCUGGGAAGUAUGGCCGCAAGGCUGAAACUUAAAGGAAUUGGCGGGGGAGCACUACAACGGGUGGAGCCUGCGGUUUAAUUGGAUUCAACGCCGGAAAUCUCACCGGGGGCGACAGCGAUAUGAAGGUCAGGCUGAAGACCUUACCCGAUUAGCUGA